rnacentral:lncRNA from 1 species
CGGGUUAGCCAAGUAGUUUUUGUUUUUCGUUUUAAUUUACAAGUCUUGAUUAUGAUUUUUUUUUAGUUUUUGCACUGGAAAAUGGAAAAAAUAGGAGCGCUGUUUUAAUGAAAUUAUUAAAUAUUAUUCAAUUGCCUUAUUUGAGUAACAAAACAAGUACUGCAUGUACCAAAUUUUUAAGACCAAGAAUAUUUAAAAAUAAUUUACUUCUGCAGUUGUACUGUAGUAUUCGGAUUGAACUGGAUUGAGUUUUUGCGGGUGAUAUAUGAUUAGUGUUGACGUAUGAAUUACUAAAAGAUUGUUAUUGUGUGAGACUAAUGGAAACAUUCCAACUCUCCAAGGAUGCUCAAAACAAAUAUGCUACUCUGCAUCUGCUUUUCAGUUUAAUAAAGUUUGUUACGAAACCAUGAAAUCAUAAUGCCGGUAAGUUCAAGUAAUUAGAAGUAAUGAAGCAUAUGAUAAAACAUAGUGGGACUUUAUGCUGCCAAGGUUGAAGUUUCUUGAGAAUUAAGAUGGGGAUAAAACUAUUUGUACAAAAUUUGGUUCACAAAAUGGUUUAAUUCUCACAUGCAUACGGGUCCUCCUUGCAUUAAAAAAUUCGGCCAUGUGGUCCCUAUCAUUCUAUUGUGAGAGUGUGUAGAAUUUUUAGUGCAAAUGUGUUUGUACAUGUAGCACAAUCCGAAAGAUGGAAUGCACUCUUAUGUCUUCUGAAUAUUUUUUUAGCUGGGCAUCUUAAAUAUUUAAAUGCCUGAUCUUAUGUGUAUAUAUAUUUUUUUCAAUUUAUCGGGAUGGGCUUGCCUAUCGGGUUUCUUUUUGUUCAUAACAAGAAAAUGGUGUUCUAAAAGUGUAAAUAUUUGUCAGAUUCUAGUACUAGUGACAUUUGUUUUUUGUUUCAAGACCAGGUUAAAGUCAGGAAAUCCAUCGUUGGAUUGUUCUUUAUUAACUCUAGAUCCCUGUGUUGACUUCAGCAACCUUUGUGUGAAUAAUUACUGUGUAUAACGUUCAACACUUAUAUUGGUCCUUUUUUUUUUUUUCUUUUUUUUUUUGCACUUUGUCAUUAUAUUCAUUCAUGGGGAAGAUUAAAAAUGAAUUUUUGUGACCGGUUUGAAUGUUAAUGCGACAGGUGCAGAGCUGUUAGAUUGACAUGAACUUGCAGUCUUGAAAGUUCUCUAUACAGUGGUUGCCAAGCUGCGAAUGGUUUGAUUGUGGUGAAUGAAAUCCAAUUUAGUUGAAAAGGUUCAGCAUGAUAUAGAAAUAGACCACAUCUCAGUAGUUUUUGAUUGUGGUGAAUUAAAUCCAAAUUUCGAUUAGUGAAUAUUUUGUGUGCAUUUUAACUGGAGCACUUCUACAGCUCGGUCAUGCUUGCUUACCCUUUCACGUGGGCCUGGGGUGUGAAGAAUGAGUUGCCAUCUUGAAGUAUGGAUACGGUACUCUAGUAAGAUUGUCAAUCCUAGAAGAGAUAGAUAUACUUCAGGCGAGCAUGCAUGCUCUGAAUGAUCCUCAUCUUAUAGUUUUUUCAUGAUUGCACAAGGCAACUAGUGGAAUAACAUGAAGGAGUAGUUUCAUUUUUUUCUUCCUCAAAAAUAUUGGCCUCUGCUAUUUUCUCCUUUUUUCCAACUUAAUUUUGUCAUGAAAUGAGUAAAAGCAUCAUAGGAGUUAUGGAACUUAAGGAUAUGAUAAAUACAGAAAAAUUAGAAACCCCCAUGUUGUGGUACAUGAUUGUCCCUAUUGUGUUUUAUCCAUAAUCUUUCUCUGGAGAUGGCGCAUAUUAUAGUACAUAUGAAAUCUGGACAUUUUAAGUAAUCUUCUUGCUUAUAUUGACAAAUACAUGGAACUUUCAUCUUGCCCACCUUAUUGUUCCACUAAUUCAUUUGUCCUCUUUGAAAG